UAUGGCUGCUGGUGACUAGUCCACUCCUGCGUGUUGAGCUUCUUGUUCACAUGGUGGAGAAAAAGAGGAUAUUACACCAGAAAAAUUCAUGCUAGCUACAUCUCAAAUUCCAGUCCAGUAAGGUGCUGUUUUCAGCUCAAGUCACCUGAAUUUUCUCAGAACUGGGAGAUUUUGUGCAA